GGAGAGGUGGCCGAGUGGCUGAAGGCACUCGCCUGGAAAGCGAGUAGACGAGAUCAAACUUGUCUCGCGGGUUCGAAUCCCGCCUUCUCCGCCA
rnacentral:tRNA from 1 species